rnacentral:rRNA from 1 species
GACGGAGGAUGCAAGCGUUAUCCGGAAUGAUUGGGCGUAAAGCGUCCGCAGGUGGCAGUUCAAGUCUGCUGUCAAAGACCGGGGCUUAACUUCGGAAAGGCAGUGGAAACUGAACAGCUAGAGUAUGGUAGGGGCAGAGGGAAUUCCGGGUGUAGCGGUGGAAUGCGUAGAGAUCCGGAAGAACACCGGUGGCGAAGGCGGCCUGCUGGGCAGUAGCUGACGCUGAGGCGCGACAGCGUGGGGAGCAAACAGG